CAAUAGCGUAUAUUAAAGUUGUUGUAGUUAAAAAGCUCGUAGUUGGAUUUCUGAUCGAGACAUCAGGUCGGGUCCGAGAGGAUCAUGUACUUUGAUUUUGUUUUGAUCAUCCUUGGGGAGAGCAUUUCUGGCAUUCAGUUGUCGGGAUUGGGAUCCUCAUCGUUUACUGUGAAAAAAUUAGAGUGUUCAAAGCAGGCCUCGGCCUCUGAAUACAUUAGCAUGGAAUAAUAAGAUAGGACUUUGGUGGUCUAUUUUGUUGGUUUGCACGCCAAAGUAAUGAUUAAUAGGGAUAGUUGGGGGUAUUCGUAUUCAAUUGUCAGAGGUGAAAUUCUUGGAUUUAUGGAAGACGAACUACUGCGAAAGCAUUUACCAAGGAUGUUUUCAUUAA
rnacentral:rRNA from 1 species